CCUACGGGAGGCAGCAGUGGGGAAUAUUGCACAAUGGGGGAAACCCUGAUGCAGCGACGCCGCGUGAGUGAAGAAGUAAUUCGUUAUGUAAAGCUCUAUCAGCAGGGAAGAAAAUGACGGUACCUGAGUAAGAAGCCCCGGCUAACUACGUGCCAGCAGCCGCGGUAAUACGUAGGUGGCAAGCGUUAUCCGGAUUUACUGGGUGUAAAGGGAGCGUAGACGGCAGUGCAAGUCUGGAGUGAAAGGCUGGGGCUCAACCCCCGGACUGCUCUGGAAACUGUACGGCUGGAGUGCAGGAGAGGUAAGUGGAAUUCCUAGUGUAGCGGUGAAAUGCGUAGAUAUUAGGAGGAACACCAGUGGCGAAGGCGGCUUACUGGACUGUAACUGACGUUGAGGCUCGAAAGCGUGGGGAGCAAACAGGAUUAGAUACCCCAGUAGUC
rnacentral:rRNA from 1 species